CCUAGCUACGUAUACAUCUCUGUCUACGGUGAAGCCUGAAUUCCUAUCGACCUUAACUAUUUAUUACCUAAAUUAUAAAUUUUCGUGGAGCGCUAACAUAAAGACGGUAAGCGGAGUCGUGCUAAAUUGCGUCAGUUUGUUAUUGUUUAAACAAUGUUAAAAGAAAUAGCUUAUCAGAUUUCAAGAUAAUGAGAAUACGACCACGGCACGUUCUGGUUCCCUAAAGAAAAUUUUGUAUAAAGCGUUAUCAGACUUUUUCUGGGCUCUUAACUGAUGUUUUUUUUUAAUCUUAAAAAGAAAUGAGAAAAACAGAUCCAUUAGGCUUUCGAAGCACGAAUUGUGAAAAAAUGUGCAGUGCUGUUGUAGAGUCAUUACGAGACAUGUACCUGGACCUUCCGAAUAUGCGCUGAUUGUGUUACAGUUACGCCAUGAAGGCAUGCUGGAAAGUAGAAAAUACCUUAUACACUCUCUCUUUUAAAGGACGACUGGGGCACUAGAUGACCCUAUCGCGAAAUCCUGAUGGUGACAAAUUAUUGUCCACCGUCUUUUAGUUCAAGCCAUUUCUUAUCGUUAUUCUGAAGAAGGAGGUGUGAAAAACGUGCAAUGCCGAAACUCGAACCUGGACCUCUCGAAUACGCGCCGAAUGUUCUACCGUUACACUGCGAAGGCGUGCUCGAAAGAAGGAGAAAAUGCCUUAUAUCUUUUCGAUUAUAAUUUGGAAAUUUUAGAUUACCGAGGUUUCGAGAUUUUAUGAUAUUGACGGAAUUUUUAAUUGCAAUGUUGAAAAUUUUCCAAAGGCUUUAAUAGCAGGUUAAAUUACUAAACCAAUUUUAAGCAUUGCUUCUGUUGUGAUCGAAAACCAGUCUGCAAAAUAAAACAAACACCAAUUUCAAGGAGA